GGAGAUGUAGCUCAGUGGUAGAGCAUUUGCCUAGCAUGCACAAGACCCCGAGUUCAAUCCUCAGUACCA
rnacentral:tRNA from 1 species